AUUGAACGCUGGCGGCAGGCUUAACACAUGCAAGUCGAGCGGGGUGAUGGUGCUUGCACUAUCACUUAGCGGCGGACGGGUGAGUAAUGCUUAGGAAUCUGCCUAUUAGUGGGGGACAACAUCUCGAAAGGGAUGCUAAUACCGCAUACGUCAUACGGGAGAAAGCAGGGGAUCACUUGUGACCUUGCGUGAAUAGAUGAGCCAAAGUCGGAUUAGCUAGUCGGUGGGGUAAAGGCCUACCAAGGCGACGAUCUGUAGCGGGUCUGAGAGGAUGAUCCGCCACACUGGGACUGAGACACGGCCCAGACUCCUACGGGAGGCAGCAGUGGGGAAUAUUGGACAAUGGGGGGAACCCUGAUCCAGCCAUGCCGCGUGUGUGAAGAAGGCCUUAUGGUUGUAAAGCACUUUAAGCGAGGAGGAGGCUCUUUUGGUUAAUACCCAAGAUGAGUGGACGUUACUCGCAGAAUAAGCACCGGCUAACUCUGUGCCAGCAGCCGCGGUAA
rnacentral:rRNA from 1 species